GGGCGGAUGUAGCCAAGUGGAUUAAGGCGGU
rnacentral:tRNA from 1 species